GACGAACGCUGGCGGCGUGCCUAAUACAUGCAAGCCGAACGAAGCUGUUUUAACUGGUGCUUGCACCGACUUAAACAACUGAGUGGCGAACGGGUGAGUAACACGUGGGUAACCUGCCCCAAAGCGGGGGAUAACAUUUGGAAACAGAUGCUAAUACCGCAUAAUCACAGAAACCACAUGGUUUCUGUGUCAAAGAUGGUUUCGGCUAUCACUUUGGGAUGGACCCGCGGCGUAUUAGCUAGUUGGUAAGGUAAUGGCUUACCAAGUCAAUGAUACGUAGCCGAACUGAGAGGUUGAUCGGCCACAUUGGGACUGAGACACGGCCCAAACUCCUACGGGAGGCAGCAGUAGGGAAUCUUCCACAAUGGACGAAAGUCUGAUGGAGCAACGCCGCGUGAGUGAAGAAGGUUUUCGGAUCGUAAAACUCUGUUGUCAGAGAAGAACGUGUGCGAGAGUAACUGCUCGUGCAGUGACGGUAUCUGGCCAGAAAGCCACGGCUAACUACGUGCCAGCCGCCGCGGUAA
rnacentral:rRNA from 1 species